CUCAGAAAGACUGAGAGAAGAUAGAAAUAAUGAGGCUCCAUUUACAAAGGCGAAGCUUUUUCAAGAAUAAAUUAAGCAGGGAAAUGGCCUCAAUAAACUUGUUGUUUCUGUGGUUUGUCUCCAAAACAUACAAUCUAAUCUAAUCUAAUUUAGUUCUAAAUCUAUAAUUUGCCUUUUAGACAGUUAAGCGUGAUUCUGCGGAUCAUCCUCUGGUUGUCUAUCCUAAGUUCGUAAACUUUAAGCUUAGUUGAAAUUUUCUGCAUAAUUUUGCUCAUAGUGUUCUUUCCAUUUAUACAGGUGCUCCUAACGACCCGUACCUUUUAGUGCUAUCAAAGACUCUCUGAGCUUAUUGAUGCCACGUCUAAUACGAAAAUCAGGUGCAUUGAACGACACAUGUACCACGUUUUCACUCCUGAAUGUUUCACCGAAUGCUUAAAUAAUGUUGCUCCAAAAGAGGACUGCUGUAUCAUCAUAUUUCAAAUUGUUGUUGAAAGACUCAUAAAGAAACGAUGUCGUAAAAACGAGCCUAAUCACACACUUCAAGCUAUAGCAUUCAUUGCAGAUGUGGCCUCCAUCAACAGGAAUCGGGCUCAUACGGUACAGUGCAUUAUUGACUGUUGUCUUGAGUCUAUUGCGAGCGUUGCCAUGUUCUAUGACAAAGGAGACCCCUGCCAAAAAACGCAGAGCGCUUGAUCAAUGGGAUUCUCACUAUCCAUAUCGUCUCAACUGAUCCCAAUAUAAGGUUGAGCGCCAUGAAUUUAUUCUCUAAGCUUUGCAGAGACCACUUAGCUUUCUACAGUCUCAAGCUGUUUGAUCUGUUUGCAAUGAUCGCUGGUAGAGUGCCCACAUUGCUCAAUCACUUCCUUCCGCAACUCAUUCAACAUGUUGAAACAGUUGAGAAAAAACGAGGUGUCACUUAUGAUAGCUCUCUCAGGUAGGAGCUUAAUGCAUGAAUGUCUGAAUGAAAUGGGUAACCAUAAAAAUUACUGAGCAGAAAAUUCUCCUUUCAUACGGUAUCCAGUGAGGCCAUAAGA
rnacentral:lncRNA from 1 species